rnacentral:rRNA from 1 species
UGGGGAUUUUUCCGCAAUGGGCGAAAGCCUGACGGAGCAACGCCGCGUGUGGGAUGACGCUUUUCGGAGUGUAAACCACUGUUCCUGGGGACGAAGCACUGACGGUACCCAGGGAGGAAGGCCCGGCUAACUACGUGCCAGCAGCCGCGGUAAUACGUAGGGGUCGAGCGUUGUCCGGAGUUACUGGGCGUAAAGCGCGCGCAGGUGGCUCAUUACGCCCGGCGUGAAAGCCCCCAGCCUAACCGGGGAAGGUCGUCGGGUACGGGUGAGCUUGAGGGUAUCAGGGGCUGGUGGAAUUCCCGGUGUAGUGGUGAAAUGCGUAGAGAUCGGGAGGAACACCCGUGGCGAAGGCGGCCAGCUGGGAUACACCUGACACUGAGGCGCGAAGGCGUGGGGAGCGAAAGGGAUUAGAUACCCCUGUAGUC